rnacentral:rRNA from 1 species
CCUACGGGGGACAGCAGUGGGGAAUAUUGCACAAUGGGGGAAACCCUGAUGCAGCGACGCCGCGUGAGUGAAGAAGUAUCUCGGUACGUAAAGCUCUAUCAGCAGGGAAGAAAAUGACGGUACCUUACUAAGAAGCCCCGGCUAACUACGUGCCAGCAGCCGCGGUAAUACGUAGGGGGCAAGCGUUAUCCGGAUUUACUGGGUGUAAAGGGAGCGUAGACGGCAGCACAAGUCUGGAGUGAAAUCCCGGGGCGUAACCCCCGAACUUCUUUGGAAACUGGACGGCUGGAGUGCAGGAGGGGUAAGCGGAAUUCCUAGUGUAGCGGUGAAAUGCGUAGAUAUUAGGAGGAACACCGGUGGCGAAGGCGGCUUACUGGACUGUAACUGACGUUGAGGCUCGAAAGCGUGGGGAGCAAACAGGAUUAGAUACCCUAGUAGUC